UAGUUGUAUGAGGUAACUGUGUCCUGAGGAGACAUAGAACAUGGUCCUCUGUCCUGAAGAGACUUUAAUGAAUACAGAAAUAUAGUUAAAUAAAGGGAAAUCAAGAAACCAAACAACAUAUUAAUAAAAAAAUCUGCUCUGUUUCAACAUCUCCUAAAAUUAAGCGAAUAUGGUAUAUCCUCAAAGUAUUCAAAUUUGGAAGUGACUACUAAGGUAAUAUUCCAGAAGGUAUCAAUCUGCUGCCUGACUGAGGUGACUGCUCUAUUUCUGAUCUACAGAGAUCCUGAUCAUAUGCAACUCUAGUCCCAAUGUAGAUACUAAAAUAAAAUGGAGGACUGUAAUGUAAACACUUUCUUCGUGGCCUUCCUUGCCUUAGAAGCUUCAACAUCAGUAGGACCAGCAGCAGUUUUGCUAAAAGAAAGCAUGCCAUUUGAAGAUGUAACUUAAGACAAAGCCCUGCCAAGGUGACUGUGAAAGCCCAAGUCCAACAGUCUGAGUCCCUGAGUGACUAUGAUGAACAAAGGCCUGCAACUAACCUGCACUGGACAUACAAUAUCAGCAAGAAAACUUUCCUGUGUGAUGCUGCUGAGAUUUUCAGAGGCUUCCAGAUCAAGAGGAGCCACAUCUGGACACAAUACAGAAAGCACUACACAUUUCCCAGAAACCUUGGACUGAGUUUAAUUACACUGAACAUGAUUUUGGGGUUGACACCCUUGAGGUGAAAUCAAGCAUUCUGCCUAUAGGAGGGAGUUUGAGCUGAACUGUUUUAGUCCUUAAGUGCUUUUAAAAUAUUUCCAGCUUUUUGACUUCCAGGCACAGAGAAAUUAGAUUCUUCAGUGGGACAUACUCUGGCUGAUGAAAAAGAAGUGCAAAGAAAGUGACUCAUAGCAUCUCCAGGUGGAAGCUGUAAGAGGCAGUGCACCAUUCACUACCUUUUGGUUCCUGCCUUGGAAAUCAUGGUUGGAGCUUCCAUCAGCCUGAGUCCCUGAG